ensembl:lncRNA
UGAAAUUUAAAGAAAUGCUAUAAUAUUUAACUAGAAAAGCACAAAUUGUUGGCCUUACAUAACCUUGUUUGAAAGAUAGAUUUUUCAUAAACUGUAUAUUCAAUACGCAAAGCUCUGACUUUUAACCCCCUAAAAGUUUCCCUGCAAAACACAGAACACCAACCAAAGUUUUGUUCCCAACUCGAAACAGUACCAGGAAAUUUGUAGAUUUCCACUCACAUCAGGGGUUUUGUUUCCGUGAGUUUUCUUGGCGAAAGACGGGAGAAGCCUCGCUGCUUAAACCUGCCGGUAUGCAUUAAACAUAGAAUUGGCAGAGGGAAUGAUGGGAUACUUCGUUGCAUGGGUGCUGUGAGUCUUUCAUUACCUGAGCUGUGAGAAAUCUAAUCGACAGCCCCUCCAUUCACCGCCCCGCUGCUCCGGCUGAAUGCGACCCCUGUGGUGAUUUUCGGCUGAGGGCACCGUCUGGUAACAGCCGCUCAUCAACACCCAAGGCACAAACAGAGGCAGCCAGCUGUGGAAGCUCUCACAUCACUUCCUGCAGUCAGUCGGGCUCCGAUCGACUUUCUCCCGCCUGCCUGUAAACGCAAGACUGAGAUAGAUAUGCAUUGCUCUUUUUAGAUGACUUCACAGCCUGUGAGGCUAGGAGCUGACUUUAUAAGAAAGCACAGAGCUGAAGUGUUCGGGGACGAGGGCUGAACCUGUCAGUAUAACAUUAAUGAGAAGCUUCAGUCAUUUAUUUUGAUGUAAACCAAACUAGGCUGUUUUCUGUAGUUUUUAAUGGACUGUACUCCAUUUUUAAUGGUGUCAAAUUAAAUAUGGCCUUGUUAGAAGUCAAUCUUCAGCCUUACAACAUUUAGGAGGGUUCACGUCUUAACUGCAGGACAGAAUUUGUACCCUGAAUGUCAUACACUGAAAAACAUUUGGUGUUUUUAUAAAGUACUAAGAAAUUGCAAGCAUCACAUUGAAUUGAACAUAAAAAAGGUAGAAAGCUUAUUAAAUAUUUUCUUGUGAAACACUCAAAUAAUCUUGGUUUUAUUCACAACUUCAUUGCAAAAGAAGCAAAAACAAAGAUUAAAAGCACAUUCAUUUUAAAAUGCAACAUAAAAAAUAUUUAGUAUCUAUUAUUUGAGACAAGAAAAUACGAGAAAAUACUGUUUCAUUAAUUUUCACAUUCAAUUCAAUGUGUUACUUACCAUUUCUGUGUAAUUAUUUGUGAAAUUUACUAUCAUUUUCUGAGUGAAAAUGUUCAAAUGAUAUCCUACACAUUUUUUUACAGUAUGAAAUGUACACCAGAAAAUUGGUAAAAUCUUUUUACCGUGUAUCUAAAAUCCUUAAAACAAGAUAAAUGUGUUCAAAAAACAGUCACUUAUAUGUGUUAAAAAAAAAACCUUUUCAGCUGUGGUGUCUUGCCUUAAAUGAACAUUUUUAACCAUUUUGGCCACUGUUUUUUGCAAAACAGCAUUUUUUUAUUUUUAUUAAUUUUACUAAAUUAACUUAACAGGACACUACUGAAAAUAAAACAUUUAUUGUGAAUAAAACA